AUGAUAGAGUUCCUUAUUCACUGGAACAAGGGCCUUACUGCACAAGUGGACAAAGAUGGGAAUACACCACUUCAUUUUGCUUCAUCACUAUUUUAUUGGACUGGCUCGUAUCUGCGUCUUGCGCUCCUCCGCAGACCCCCUUGGUGUGUUUUUGUAUGGUUUCCCUGGAAAUCUACACAGACACUCCAGAAGGUAUUCAAAGCGAACCCCACAGUAGUGUAUCAAGCAGACAAGAACGGGUCUUUUCCCAUACAUGUGGCUGCCUCUGUAGGUGCCAAAGAUGCCAUACAGUUUUUCUAUGACGAGCGUCCAGACAGUGUUGGAUUGCGUGAUGCUAAAGGAAGGACCUUCCUUCAUGUUGCUGUCAAGAAAAGAAGACUGAGCAUAGUCUUCUAUGUACGCCGGACUCGAUCUUUAGCUUGGAUUCUGAAUAUGCAAGACAACGAUGGGAAUACUGCACUGCACUUAGCUAUCCAGACUCGGAGCUUUAGGAUGUUUUGUGCUCUACUUGGGAAUCGGAAGGUGGAGUUGAAUCUAAUAAAUAACCAUGGGGAAACUCCCUGUGAUAUAUCUAGAAGUAAGAUUCCAUGCGGAAUGAAUUAUAGACAGAACCCCGAGAAUAAAAUAUUUGAUGCCUUGUUGUCUGUUGGGGCAAACCAUGGUGCCCUUCGCUGGGAUAAAACUGAGGAAAUGUAUAGCCCGCGUCAAAAGCCAGAGGACAAGGUCAAGGAAUCAGAGUGGCUGAAAGAUGCAACCCAAACGCUUAUGGUUGCUUCAGUCUUAAUAGCAACAGUGGCGUUCACCGCAAACUUUGCUCUUCCUGGAGGUUACAGAGCCGAUGAUCAUAAAAAUGGUGGCACGCCAACACUUGCUGGGAGUUUUGUUUUUGAUGCAUUCAUGAUGGCCACAACAUUAGCUUUCAUCUGCUCCUCAAUAGCCACCGUUGGUUUCGCGUAUGCCGGAACUCCCAUGGUUAACUUGAUCGCCCGCAGAGUCUACUUUGGCCUAUCUGCACGUUUCAUGUCGAGUUCAGUCACAUGCAUGUCUAUCGCUUUUGCACUGGGGGUGUAUAUGGUGCUUGCACCAAUUGCUCGUGAUACCGCUAUUGCUGUUUGUGUUAUUACUCCUGCCGUGUUGCUAAGUGCAAAUAUGGAGGCUAUUUUGAAAUUGGUUAUUCUUGCACUACCGUUAUGCAUUAGGAAAGGGCUAUUCCUAGGAAUGGUACAGCUACUAAAGUUAUAUGUGGUCAAACUAAUCGCUGCACUUUGGCCAUUCAUAUUAACCUUUGGUUGGGCCGCGUUGGCAAGGAUCCACCGCCAUCGCUAA
rnacentral:rRNA from 1 species